CACAUGUACAUUUAUGCUGGCUUGGCCCAUGGUCUGAUCAAAGGUCUGUUAUGAUAGUUGACCAACAGGCACGCCACUGCAAAUAAUUGAUUGACGCUGCCUGAGAUGGUCAGGGGGAUGACUGUGUCAAACAGCUUGUGUUCCUUUACUCCGCGGAUCAUUCUUUCAACAUGCACUCUCAGCCUGGCAAUGAAUUGGGUCUCCCUAACCUCAUGCGCUGGCAUCUGUGUGUGUCUUGACAGAAAGGCUGGCUGGUAGACCUUGCACGGACCAAUGUCGUCUAUGAGAAAGCCCUUAUCCACCAUAACAGCCAUGUCAGGGAGCUGUAGUACAACUUGUUCCCAUGGGACUCAGCAAUCACACCUAAAGACAAAACGAGGGGGAUUGGACCUAACAUUGUAAAUCUGCUGACUCCGACCUUUGGUGGGAGAUUAAUUCAUUGUUUUCAGCAAUGCAUGAAAAUAUGCCAAUUAUCCUAGGACCACAUGCCUUGCCAGCCUCUGCCACUGUUACUACUCACGCCCAACCCCCCAAUUCAAGCCCCAUUCUCAAGCCCCUAGCUGCGUUUACACAGGCAUCCCAAUUCUGAUUCACAACAUCCACCAUUCACAACAGCUCUUUUUUUCAGGGCUGCUCGGAUUUGUCAAAUUACCAAUUAGGGGGAAAAAUAUAUCAGAAUUGGGCAGCCUUACCAGAGAUACUGGGCAUUCCUCAGCUGAGCCGAGGCGACACAACAACCGGGACUGGUUCAAAAUAGGGGAGGGUUAAGAACACCUUCCUAAUAUUGAGUUGCACCGCCCCUUUGCCCUCAGAACAGCCUCGAUUCGUCAGGGCAUGGACUCUACAAGAUGUUGAAAGCAUUCCACAGGGAUGUUGGCCCAUGUUGACUCCAAUGCUUCCCACUGUUGUGUCAAGUUGGCUGGAUGUCCUUUGGGUGGUGGACCAUUCUUGAUACACAAGGGAAAGCUGGAAUGGCGCUGGAGGGGAUGGCUGCUGUUUUACGGGCUCCUUAACAAUUGUGCUAUUUUUGUGUUUUUUCGCCUUGUUUUGUAACUUAUUUUGUACAUGUUUCUGCCACCGUCUCUUAUAAUCGAAAAUAGCUUCUGGAUAUCAGAACAGCGAUUACUCACCUCGAGCUGGACAAAGAUUUUUUCUUUAACGAGUUGAACAUGAAGGAUUUUAAUGCUGCUCCCAGACCAGGCCUAAAUCCCCAUCAUUCGCAAGAAGAGAAGAUGCCGAUACAGGGGAUGCAGAUCUGGGUGCCUUGUGAGAAUUCGUUGGCGAGAGGGUAACCCACCUCUACCAUCCGUCCUAUUGGCCAACAUGCAAUCAUUGGAGAAUAAACUGGAUGACCUCCGUUCGAGACUAUCCUACCAACGGGAUAGCUAAUAUUUUAUGUUUCACUGAUUCUUGGCUGAAUGACGACAUUGCUGGGUUUUCCGUGCUUCGGCAAGACAGAACAGCUACCUCCGAGCUGUUUAUUUACCGCCACAAACCGAUGCUGGCACUAAGACUGCACUCAAGGAGCAAUAUAAGGCCAUAAGGAAAACGCUCAUCCAGAGGCGGCGCUGCUAGUGGCCGGGAACUUUAAUGCAGGAUAACUUAUCUGUUUUACCUAAUUUCUACCAGCAUGUCACAUGUGCAACCAGAGGGAAAAUACUCUAGACCACUUUUACUCCACACACAGAGAUGUGUACAAAGCUCUCCCUCGCCCUCCAUUUGUCAAAUCUGACCAUAAUUCUAUCCUCCUGAUUCCUGCUUAUAUGCAAAAACUAAAGUGGUCAGAUGAGGCAGAUGCUAAUCUACAAGACUAUUUUGCUAGCACAGACUGGAAUAUGUUCUGGGAUUCAUCCGAUGGCAUUGUGGACUAUACCACAUCCAGUCACUGGCUUUAUCAAUAAGUGCAUCGAUAACGUCAACACCAUAGUGCCCUCAAAGCUCAUCACUAAGCUAAGGACCCUGAGACUAAACACCUGCCUCUGCAACUGGAUCCUGGACUUCCUGAUGGGCUGCCCCCAGGUGGUAAGGGUAGGCAACAACACAUCUGCCACGCUUAUCCUCAAUACGGGGCCCCUCGGGUGCGUGCUUAGUCCCCUCCUAUACUCCCUGUUCACACACGACUGCGUGGCCAAGCACGACUCCAACACCAUUAAGUUUGCAAACAACACAAUGGUGGUAGGCCUGAUCACUGACAACAAUGAGACAGCCUAUAGAGAGGAGGUCAGAGACCUGGCAGUGUGUGGUGCCAGGACUAUAAAACAGUGCAUUUUACUCUCUGCCCUAUGGCAAAAUGUGUAGAAUUGAAGGAUAUUUGCUUUAAAACUGCUAUAUGUUCUCUGACGCAUGAAAAAAUGUGUAGCAUAGCAUUAUAAAACUGCACAAUUUUCUCUGCCCCAAUGGCAAAAUGUGUUGAAAUGCAGGAAAUUAGCUGUCCCUCACCCCUCCCCCCAAAAUAUGUUUUCCUAAAUAACAAACAUUUUUAGAUUGGGAGGCUUCCACUUAUCCUUAUACUAUAUUUUCAAAAUACACCUCCAUAUACCCCUCAAGAGUGGCAUAAUUAGUAAUGUCAAACUGUAGAAUUGCAGAAAUUGUAUCCCCCCCCAAUAUCUACACCACAAUUUUGCCACAGUGCAGACUCAGGUGUCUGAUGGUCGGACAAUGGUGGUAUAUUCAUCUGUGCGUACUUUUACCGCUUGGGUAUAAAUGGCAAAAGUGUUCCAUUCAUUUGUCACCAUGAAUUGUUUUUGUUUGUUGGCCUGCACAGGGUUUCCUGAUUUGGAAUUAAUUAAUUAACCACCUCUUUGUGUGGCAAGUCUGAUUUUAGAAAGCAGAGCAGACAUCUGAACAUGGUGCAAUUACUAAGAGGAUUUUGUGACUCCCAUUCCUUCCUCACCUUUGACUGGUUUUGUAAGUCAUCGUUGUUCAAUUAGCAUAUUACAAAACUGUGAAAAGCAGUUCAACCAAUGUCAGAGAUUAAGGUGUUAUAUAAAAGGUUUACAUGUUAAGACAAGACUGCUGAAGGAGUAUUGUCUAACCAGUCACGCAAUGACGGAAUUGUAUAAACAAAACAAUAGUAUAACUCCAUUAUUUCAAAAUACUGGAUGAGAUCAGAGAUGCAAAGAUAUCAAAAGUUUCUCUUAGAAUUUACAUUCAAAUCUGUUGUAAAAAUGAAUUAUGGUUUGAUGGUUCACAUAACUCCAUUGCAUUACCCUAUCAAUUGCACAUUUUCUAGCUGAAGAAGUUGCCCUGGGAACACAAACCUAUGGGCUUUAAAUGGUAGUGGAGACAGAGAUUAAAUUAGUGUCAUCCAGACAGACUUGUAGGCCUACUCCUCGGUCACCAUGCAGGAGGAGAUGGAUUAUCAGACAACAAUCCUACAGUGCAUUCAAAGUAUUCAGACCCCUUCACUUUUUGUACAUUCUGUUACGUUACAGCCUUAUUCUAAAAUUGUUUAAAUUGUUUUUUCCUCAUCAAUCUACACACAAUACCCCAUAAUAAAAAAUCCAAAACAGGUUUUUAGAAUUUGAAAUGGCACAUUUACAUAAGUAUUCAGACGCUUUACUCAGUACUUUGUUGAACCACCUUUGGCAGUGAUUACAGCCUCGAACGCUACAAGUUGGCACCUGUAUUUGGGGAGUUUCUCCCAUUCUUUGCAGAUCCUCUCAAGCUCUGUCAGGUUGGAUGGGGAGUGUCACUACACAGCUAUUUUCAGGUUUCUCCAGAGAUGUUAGAUCGGGUUCAAGUCCGGGCUCUGGCUGGGCCACUCAAGGACAUUCAGAGACUUGUCCCGAAGCGACUCCUGUGUUGUCUUGGCUGUGUGCUUAGGGUUGUUGUCCUGUUGGUUAGAAGGGGAACCUUCGCCUCGGUCUGAGGUCCUGAGCACUCUGGAGCAGGUUUUCAUCUAGGAUCUCUCUGUACCCUGCUCCGUUCAUCUUUCCCUCGAUCCUGACUAGUCUCCCAGUUCCUGCCGCUGAAAAACAUCCCCACAGCAUGAUACUGCUGCCACCAUGCUUCACCGUAAGGAUGGUGCCAGGUUUCCUCCAGGUGUGACACUUGGCAUUCAGCCCAAAGAGUUCAAUCUUGGUUUCAUCAGACCAGAGAAUAUUGUUUCUCAUGAUCUGAGAGUCCUUUAUGUGCCUUUUGGUUAACUCCAAGAGGGCUGGCAUGUGCCUUUUACUGAGGACUGUCUUUCGUCUGGCCACUCUACCAUACAGGCCUGAUUGGUGGAGUGCUGCAGAGAUGGUUGUCCUUCUGUAAGGUUCUCCCAUCUCUACAGAGGAACUCUGAAGCUCUGUCAGUGACCAUCGGAUUCUUGGUCACCUCCCUUGCUCAGUUUGGCCGGGCGGCCAGCUCUAGGAAGAGUCUUGGUGGUUCCAAACUUCUUCCAUUUAAGAAGAAUGGAGGCCACUAUGUUCUUGUGUUCUUGGGGAUCUUCAAUACUGCACAAAUGUUUUGGUAUCCUUCCCCAGAUCUGUGCCUCGACACAAUCCUGUCUCCGAGCUCUACGGACAAUUCCUUCGACCUAAUGGCUUGGUUUCUGCUCUGACAUGCACCGUCAACUGUGGGACCUUAUUUGGAAAGGCACACACCUGUCUAUAUAAUUUCCAAUCAACUGAAUUUACCACAGGUGGACUCCAAAUUGUAGAUACAGCUCAAUGAUGAUCAAUGGAAACAGGAUGCACCUGAGCUCAAUUUCGAAUAUCAUAGCAAAGGGUCUGAUUACCUUUUAAGGUAUUUGUUGUUUACAUUUGCAAACAUUUCUAAAAACCUGUUUUCACUUAGUCUAUUGUGUGUAGAUGAGGAAAAUGCUUUUAAAAUCAAUUUUAGAAUAAGGCUGUAACAUAAAAUGUGGGAAAAGGGAAGUGGUCUGAAUAGUUUCCGAAUGCAUUGUAUGUCCCAAAUGGCACCCUAGCCCCUAUAUAGUGCACUACUUUUGACAAGUUCCCAUAUGGCUCUGGUCAAAGUAGUGCACUGUAUAGGAACUAGGGUGCCAUUUCUCUACAUACCGAAACCUCAAUGUAAAUGGGAAAAUAUUUUCAUAUUGCACAUCUUUUAGUUGGCUCAUUAAAUGCUUUCAAUAUUUGUGUAAGAAUUUCAAAAAUGUAAAGUUGGUUGGAGGUUUUUAAGUCACUGACAUUUGGAGCUAUUGACAUUUAAAAAUAUUGUGUAAUUUACUGAUGGUCCAUAACCAGCCCCAUAGGGAUAUUGAAUGUCAAACCAAAUUGACCAUGGUCAUUACGAUGGAGCCGUGUGCAGCUGCGCUCUGAAUUGAUGAUUACUUGGGUGCUGCCAACUGUGGGCAUGUGGGCAGGAUUGAAAUAAACCCAACUCAAGGAUAAGUGUUACGGUACCCUUCAUUCGGUGCCAUACCAUUUUUUUUCCCUAUCAUCUUGCAAAUCUCAGUUUUGGACGAGACUGACUUUAUGACCGAAGUUAUCCUAUUUACACUUUGCAGUCAAUUUUGACACAAGAAUAAAUGUUUCUUACUCAUAACGAUGCCACAUAGGCCGUUUUAAAAAGUAGAAGUUUCUUUUUAGGGGCAGUCUUUUUCUAUAUUUGUUUUUUUCUGUUGCUUCUGCAGAACUCUUGGAAUCUGUCCUCUGGCAAAGUGAGUAUCAACCUCAUAGAAUCACAUAUAAUAAUUGUGACCAACCUGUCCGCAUCAUCACUGUUACUUACUGCUUCCCUGUGACACCAAAUAAAACUUUGACAUUCAAUGGCCUUUAAUAACUCAUCUCUCUCCCUUAUUUAAUGACUCCACGUCAACUCCAGGAACCUCCAGGAGGUCUGCCCAAGCACAUUUUACGGAUCAUGAGGUAGUACAUUACUACAGUUACACUGUACUUACCAGGGACCAUUAAUAGCUUCUAUUCUCAAGUUACUCAUGUGACCAGUGUCCAAACUGUCUGCCACAAAUUGACUACACUCCACAGCUGCUGUCCACUCACACUAUCCAAGUACUUACUUGGUAAGUACUUAGUACUUGGCUUACUCAAACUUCUAUUUUUAACUCACAGUCAUUGUUAGAUUGCUGGGGUUUGCACUAUGACAGCCUCAAUCCACCAUGGACAUGUUCACUAUUAGGUAUACAAUACCUCCCACAAGAUAAGAGACACAAAAAACACCUACACAAAAAACACCUAAAACACCUAUGUACAAAAGUAUGUGGACACCCCUUCAAAUUAGUGGAUUUGGCUAUUUCAACCACACCCGUUGCUGACAGGUGUAUAAAAUCUAGCACACAGCCAUGCAAUCUCCAUUGACAAACAUUGGCAGUAGAAUUGCCUUACUGGAGAGCUAAGAGACUUUCAACGUGGCACCGUCAUAGGAUGUUCCAAUAAGUCAGUCCAUCAAAUGUCUGCCCUGCUAGUCAUAGGAUGCCACCUUUCCAAUAAGCCAGUUCAUCACAUUUCUGCCCAUGUCAACUGUAAGUGCUGUUAUUGUGAAGUGGAAAAGUCUAGGAGCAACAACGACUCAGCCACAAAGUGGUAGGCCACACAAGCCCACAGAACGGGACUGCCGGGUGCUGAAGCGCUUAAAAAUCCUUGCAACACUCACUACUGAGUUCCAAAAUGCCUCUGGAGGCAACGUCAGCACAAUAAUUGUUCGUCGGGAGCUUCAUGAAAUGGAUUUCCAUGGCCGAGCAGCCGCACACAAGCCUAAGAUCACCAUGCACAAUGCCAAGCAUCAGCUGGAGUGGUGAAAAGCUCGCCGCCAUUGGACUCUGGAGCAGUGGAAAUGCGUUUUCUGGAAUGUUGAAUCACACUUCACCAUCUGGCAGUCCGACGGAUGAAUCUGGGUUUGGCACAUGCCAGGAGCACAGUGACUGUCCAAAUGCAUAGUGUCAACUGUAAAAUUUGGUAGAGGAGGAAUAAUGGUCUCGGGCUGUUUUUUUUCAUGGUUUGGGCUAGGCCCCUUAGUUUCAGUGAAGGGAAAUCUUAACGCUACAGCAUACAAUGACAUUCUAGACGAUACUGUGCUUCCAACUUUGUGGCAACAGUUUGAGGAAGGCCCUUUCCUGUUUCAGCAUGACAAUGCCCCCGUGCACAAAGCGAGAUCCAUACAGAAAUGGUUUGUCAAGAUCGGUGUAGAAGAACUUGACUGUUCUGCACAGAGCCCUGACCUCAACCCCAUCAAACACCUUUGUGAGCCAGGCCUAAUCGCCCAACAUCAGUGCCCGACCUCACUAAUUCUCUUGUGGCUGAAUGGAAGCAAGUCCCCGCAGUAAUGUUCCAACAACUAGUGGAAAGUCUUCCCAGAAAGUGGAGGCUGUUAUAGCAGCAAAGGGGGGACCUACACCAUAUUAAUACCCAUGAUUUUGGAAGGAGAUGUUCGACCUGCAGGUGUCCAGAUACUUUUGAUCAUGUAGUGUAUAUGUGACCAACAAAUUUGGCAUUGGGGGGCAAGGGUAGUGUCAUGGUGAGAAGGUCAUGAUCAGGCCAGUUGGCUGUUUGGCCAAGGUUAGGAGUGUGGUGCUGCAGGGUUUAGGGUGACAGUAUGAUGCAACAUUAUCAGAUAUGUCAUCUUUGUAGGGUGAAAAAGUAGCAUCUCCCAGCCCGAUCCCUAGCUUCCAUCUAGAAUAUUUGCUUUCCCAGCCCUCUUAGUACUUUCUGUAAUUCAUUGACAAUCCCUAACUAGAGCCAGAGGCUAUCCGAAUUCAAACCAAUUUUGCCACGGUAAAGGGUGAGUGACUAACUGUAUACUGUUCUGUGAAUUUACAAAUGCUUGCCAUGUCCAAACACACACACGAGACAACCACAUUAAACACCCCUUUCGUAUAUUUUUUUGUCACCAAAGCCCCAUAUACUACCCACCACUGCGACCUGUACACUCUCGUUGGCUGGCCCUCGCUUCAUACUCGUCGUCAAACCCACUGGCUCCAGGUCAUCUACAAGACCCUGCUAGGUAAAGUCCCCCCUUAUCUCAGCUCGCUGGUCACCAUAGCAGCACCUACCUGUAGCACGCGCUCCAGCAGGUAUAUCUCUCUGGUCACCCCCAAAACCAAUUCUUCCUUUGGCUGCCUCUCCUUCCAGUUCUCUGCUGCCAAUGACUGGAACGAACUACAAAAAUCUCUGAAACUGGAAACACUUAUCUCCCUCACUAGCUUUAAGCACCAGCUGUCAGAGCAGCUCAUAGAUUACUGCACCUGUACAUAGCCCAUCUAUAAUUUAGCCCAAACAACUACCUCUUUACCUACUGUAUUUAUUUAUUUAUUUAUUUUGCUCCUUUGCACCCCAUUAUUUCUAUCUCUACUUUUUUCUAUCUCUACUAUCUCUACUUUUUUUCUUUUUUUUUACUUGCUAUAUUGUAUUUACUUCGCCACCAUGGCCUUUUUAUAUUUUUAUUUAUUUAUAUAUAUAUUUUGUUUGCCUUCACCUCCCUUAUCUCACCUCACUUGCUCAUAUUGUAUAUAGACUUAUUUUUCACUGUAUUAUUGACUGUAUGUUUGUUUUACUCCAUGUGUAACUAUGUGUUGUUGUAUGUGUCGAACUGCUUUGCUUUAUCUUGGCCAGGUCGCAAUUGUAAAUGAGAACGUGUUCUCAAUUUCCCUACCUGGUUAAAUAAAGGUGAAAUAAAAAUAAAUAAAUAAAUAUUCA